GGCCUCGUGGCCCAAUGGCAAGGCGUCUGACUACGAGACAGAGUCAGUCAACGAUUGACUCUUCAGAUAAUCAGGAGAUUCUGGGUUCGACCCCCAGCGAGGUCA
rnacentral:tRNA from 1 species